rnacentral:rRNA from 1 species
GGUGAGUAACACGUGGGUAAUCUGCCCUGCACUCUGGGAUAAGCCUGGGAAACUGGGUCUAAUACUGGAUAUGACCUUUCUCCUUAUGGGGUUUGGUGGAAAGUUUUUCGGUGUAGGAUGAGCCCGCGGCCUAUCAGCUUGUUGGUGGGGUGAUGGCCUACCAAGGCGACGACGGGUAGCCGGCCUGAGAGGGUGAUCGGCCACAUUGGGACUGAGAUACGGCCCAG